UUUGUACUCACCAAUACUAGCACAGUUCCCUCUCAAUUGACAGUUACUUGUAAAUAAUUCAAUGCAAUAAGUUCUCCGUGGAAAAUUAUUCAACAAAUUGAAUCCAAUUUCAGCAAGUUUAUUUGCUAAAAAUAUGUAAUACAAUAGUGCUUCGAAGAUAAAAAGUGUAUUGCCCAGCGAGCGAGAUGGUGGUCGGUCCCGUCGUGAUCUAGUUUUUGCGAGGAGGUUCCGCCGCGUUGUAAAAGGAACACUGCAAAAAUGUUAAUGUGGGUUAAUCAUUGUCACGACGCGAGUUAGCUAUAUCGGAUCCAGCAAGUUUUAGUUCCGGGCGAUAGGCCCGAGAAAUUAAUCGGCGAGGUGAAUCGAAAGUUAUCUAUGGGAUCGCUGGCAUUAAAUUAGAAGCUCGCUUGCUACGUUGCUCCGCUUGGAAGAUGCCUCUGGACUGACUCGAUGGACAUUUUUUAGAAGAGUUGCAAUUUCAUUACCUGAGGAUCAGUUGCUGUUGUAAAAUCAGGACGCAACGUCCUUUGAUGAGUUGUCCUACCUGCGGCGUCAGGUGAAAAGUCAGAAGAAGGAGAUGCAGUUGUCAUUUUGGAAGUGCUCGCUAAUAAAUCAAUUGAAACGGACGGAAAAGAUCUGGACAAUAAUCUGAAAAAGUCAUCAAGAACUCGAUACAUGCAACGCAAGAGCUGUUUAUGAAUGAGCUAGCUAGUACGAAGUCCGAUGCCACAAGUGGGGUGCUAUCGUUAUCUCGGUGUAAGCUGCGGUUUACCAAACUUGGAAGAGAAUCCAGCCGCCAAAGACGAGUUCGUCAUCGUGAUGAAUUAUUCACUACGCACGGUGAAAAUAUAUUUGAGAAGACGGAAGCUCUGAUAUUCAUUAAUUUGCUCCACGAGGCAAAUCUGAGAACGCUCACAGAAGAAGUUGGUCAUGGGAACCUAUGUCGCCACUAUCGGAGGUUCUUACUGGGAUGUGGUUGAUAUCCAAGCUGAAUAUCUUCAAGAAACGAUCCGCAAAAGAUGUGAGCAGUAUGCUGGUAAGGAAACCAAUCUGACUGAACCGAAAUCUGAAUGCCACUCCGAAGAAAUACCGUGAUAGCCGUAAAGCGGUAAAUUCUCCACUAGUCCACUGUGUGUUGUGUAAAUGUCCUGUCCGUUGUCUUAUGCUAGGUGUAAAGUAGGUAUUCAGUAUGUGCAACCUCUGGUCAAAGACGGUGAUCCUGUCUCUUUACCAAAAAUUGAUUUUACCUGGAUGCUGGCAGCGGCGGGUAGAAAACCAGCCACUGCCAAUAAUUCAUUCAUUCUCAUUGGAAACGUGAAAGGUUCACAUAAACAUAAUCUGCAGCCAUUCUUUCGCUUUAUUUUUUUUAUUAGGAGUAAGUGGGGUAACAUCGCCAUAUAAGGCAAGGUAGCUAUCGUUUAUUAUAUGACUUUAUAGUAAUAAUUAUGUUCACAUUAUUAUAAUGAUGGAUAAAUUGACAUUAUUGUAGAAAGUGUUAUAAUAAAACUAAAAAACGCA